GCCGGGCAUGGUGGCGUGCACCUGUAAUCCCAGCUACUUGGGAGGCUGAGGUGGGAGAAUUGCUUGAGUCCAGGAGACAGAGGUUGCAGUGGGCCGAGAUUGUGCCACUGCACUCAAGCCUGGACAACGGAGCAAGACUCCAUCUCAA
rnacentral:SRP_RNA from 1 species